rnacentral:rRNA from 1 species
AUUGAACGCUGGCGGCAGGCCUAACACAUGCAAGUCGAGCGGAUGAAGGGAGCUUGCUCCUGGAUUCAGCGGCGGACGGGUGAGUAAUGCCUAGGAAUCUGCCUGGUAGUGGGGGAUAACGUCCGGAAACGGGCGCUAAUACCGCAUACGUCCUGAGGGAGAAAGUGGGGGAUCUUCGGACCUCACGCUAUCAGAUGAGCCUAGGUCGGAUUAGCUAGUUGGUGGGGUAAAGGCCUACCAAGGCGACGAUCCGUAACUGGUCUGAGAGGAUGAACAGUCACACUGGAACUGAGACACGGUCCAGACUCCUACGGGAGGCAGCAGUGGGGAAUAUUGGACAAUGGGCGAAAGCCUGAUCCAGCCAUGCCGCGUGUGUGAAGAAGGUCUUCGGAUUGUAAAGCACUUUAAGUUGGGAGGAAGGGCAGUAAGUUAAUACCUUGCUGCUUUGACGUUACCAACAGAAUAAGCACCGGCUAACUUCGUG